rnacentral:snoRNA from 1 species
UCGUCAGGUGGGAUAAUCCUUACCUGUUCCUCCGUUGGAGGACAGAUUUCUAGAACAUGAUGAUUGGAGAAUGCAUGAAACGUGAUUAACGUCUCUGCGUAAUCGGGACCUGCAACACCCUGAUUACUCCUAUCUGAU